rnacentral:rRNA from 1 species
CCCCUAGAUGUUCUGGGCCGCACGCGCGCUACACUGAACAGUUCAACAAGUCUUAACCUUGGCCGAUAGGUCUGGGUAAUCUUUGAACGCUGUUCGUGAUUGGGAUAGACCUUUGCAAUUAUGGGUCUUCAACGAGGAAUUCCUAGUAAACGCAAGUCAUCAGCUUGCAUUGAUUACGUCCCUGCCCUUUGUACACACCGCCCGUCGCACCUACCGAUUGAAUGGUCCGGUGAAAUCUCGGGACGGCGGCUUGGUCGCUUGCGUCCGACUGCUGAAACUUGAUUAAACCAUAUCAUUUAGAGGAAGGUGAANUCGUANCG